rnacentral:rRNA from 1 species
UACGUAGGGGGCAAGCGUUAUCCGGAAUCACUGGGUGUAAAGGGAGCGUAGACGGCUGAGCAAGCCUGAAGUGAAAGGCGGGGGCCCAACCCCGGAACUGCUCUGGAAACUGUGCGGCUAGAGUACUGGAGGGGCAGGCGGAAUUCCUAGUGUAGCGGUGAAAUGCGUAGAUAUUAGGAGGAACACCAGUGGCGAAGGCGGCUCUCUGGUCUGCAACUGACGCUGAGGCUCGAAAGCAUGGGUAGCGAACAGG